rnacentral:rRNA from 1 species
GACGAACGCUGGCGGCGUGCUUAACACAUGCGAGUCGAACGGAAAGGCCCUUCGGGGUACUCGAGUGGCGAACGGGUGAGUAACACGUGGGUGAUCUGCCCUGCACUUUGGGAUAAGCCUGGGAAACUGGGUCUAAUACCGAAUAGGACCACGCGCUUCAUGGUGUGUGGUGGAAAGCUUUUGCGGUGUGGGAUGGGCCCGCGGCCUAUCAGCUUGUUGGUGGGGUAAUGGCCUACCAAGGCGACGACGGGUAGCCGGCCUGAGAGGGUGACCGGCCACACUGGGACUGAGAUACGGCCCAGACUCCUACGGGAGGCAGCAGUGGGGAAUAUUGCACAAUGGGCGCAAGCCUGAUGCAGCGACGCCGCGUGAGGGAUGACGGCCUUCGGGUUGUAAACCUCUUUCAAUAGGGACGAAGCGCAAGUGACGGUACCUAUAGAAGAAGCACCGGCCAACUACGUG